CAAAAUCAUAUAGAAAUUCCUGGAAAGAAAUAAUGGCAAUAAUAAUCGUAGAAGUAGAAGCUGGAAGGGAAAAAAAGAUGGUCAUCCAGGAACCUAGAAUGGCACUUUAUAUAAUUUUAAUGAAGUCAACAGUGUAUAUAUAGACUAAGGCGACAAGGAGAUAAAACGUGUAAAGCAGUGUGUGUGUUUUAAAGGCUGGUCAAGAACGUGAGUUAGAAGACAAUGCUAUGUACAUUUAAUAAAAAGCAAAGGAGAAGGAGGCAGUUGAAGAAAAAUAAAUGUACAAAGAGAGAAACAAGUAUCUGAAAUACAACCUUCCAGAUUCUCAGGCUAGCAAGAUGCCUGGCAGAGGCAGUGCCAGGGCCAAGUUAACCCAUAGCGGGCAGUCAGUCUCCUUUCCCCCACAUGGAAAGGAUGAAAUCUCUUCCCAGAAAAUAAGAUGUGCAGGAGGAAAGAGGGAGUGGGGUGAGGGGGAAGGAGGCAAAAAGCGAGUUGCCCGCAGACAAGAAUGUGUGUCGGUUUCAAGAAAGUUCAGUCAGAUGAUCCUCAGUCGCCUGACUCACUUUGUAACACUUUCACUGACGCUGGAGAGGAGGGGGAAAACCCAGCCCCCCUUUUUCUUUCCCCUGAUUAUACCCCACUAUCUCCACACAGCCUUGGAGUCAGAAAUGAGCACUCGGAGCGGGAGAUGCCCUGCUGCUGCUUGCCACCGGUGCGGCCCGUUUGUAACUUGCAAAGUUUGUUGCUUUUGCCCCUGAUUCGGGCAGCGGGUCCUGGGAUGCUCCUGCUUCCCUCCUGCCUCCCACGGAGCCCGGGAAGAGGGUCUGCCUCCCCAUCCCGCCACCUUCCAGCAUCAGCCUCUGAAAAAUCUCACAGAGACAUGCGCGUUGUAGCAAAAAUCAAAUCCGGAAACUGCUUGUUUCAGAGAAAGAAAUGAAGUUGCCUUUUAAAGAAAAACUGAAUUAGGAGGAGAGAAAAGGGAAAUAGGAGAAGAAAGGAAAAGUUAAAUUUGAUUUUUCUCCAGAGUUUCCACUAAAGGGUUGGGGACAGUGUGAAGGAGAAGGGGAGAUUUUUACAAAUGCCUUUGGUCUCUGAACUUCAGUGGCAAAGAACAGGGAUCAAGUUGAAUGUUCUCAGGGCUUUGGAUCCUAGAGGAGAAACAAUCAGAAGAGCAGAAAUGAUUAUCCCCGUUUAAAAUAAGCCCUCACUCUUUACCACUUCCUUAAAGGAGUGGAGGUGCUGGUAGUGAUGGUUAGAGGCAAUGAGGGACGGAGAAGUUGCUCCCGUUUCAGAGAUGCUUAAAUGAAAAGGAAAGAAAAUGCAGUCAACCCCUUCUCCAGGAGGUGCCUCCUAGCUCUCCUCCCUGAGAGGUGAAGUUGGGAUGGGGCAACGAGAGUCACACACACUUAGACAAGGAAGUUUCCUUCGGAUCACUGUCAGUCCAGACUUGGUUAUCUUUGCAAAGUGUGGAAAUCUUUGGCAAGUAGCUUUCUUCGUAAAGUUGAUGAGCUUCUAGGGAGCCUGUUUUGCUGACUUUCAAAGCACUCGGGCAGGUUGUGUGGCAGGUACCAGUUCUGAGGGCGCUCCAAAGAUAUCCAUCUCCAUCCUUUUUUCUCUGUGGAGAUCUUCUGCAAGUUUUGUCACGCUGCACACACACAAGGCUGGGGGCUAUGUAUCUAGGCUGAUCUAUUUGUUUUAUUUUGGUCUGGAAAAACUAAGCCAAUUGGGGUAGAAACAUGCUUUCCUUCGUAGCAGAGCCAGUAGGCUGCUGGUGUCCAUAGAGUGACAGUCCACCAGGACUAAGGGUGGGCUGAGGAUUUUAAACUUUACAUUGUUUCUCUGUUACCAGAUACAAAUAAAUUCACGUCUUCCACCAUUUGUUUUCAAAUAGGGUAAAACCAAGAUUAAAGUUCCCUGCUCAACUGCUAUGUCAUAGGUUUCAGUGUUUCCCUUCCUUCUUAAUUUGCUUAAAGAAAAUUCCAAGAGGUUAUUAAAGACCUUGAUGCCAUAUUAAGAAUAUUUCCUGGGAAAAAUGUGUGUCUACCCUGAAGGUAGGAAAGGAGGGCGUUACUAGCCUCUCUAGCAGUGCCGCGUUUAUUCUAAGAUGUGGGAGAUUCUUUUCCUUGCAACAGUUUUUGUCAUCUGCAUUCUUCCAAGGCUUUUAAGGUGCAUUUUCUUCUGUGUGAAAGGAAAUUCUUUGUCCUUUUCCUCUCAGCACCGUGGCUUCCCAAGGUAGACACUAUUUUGUGCCUGUCACAGAGAGAGGGAGUGCAGGUUUGCAAUGCUCACAGACAAUUGAUUGUCUGCCCUAAUGUGUUUCAUUUACAUGUUUAUAACGUCAAUGGUGCUGGGGUGUCCACUGUACCAUUCAUUCCCGCAUUCCCACAAGGGGGCAAUUGUCUGAAUGGCCAAGUCAGACACCUUUUUGAUUGCUCUUUGGUUGUCUUUUCAGAGCAAAGAGAUAAAGGAGGAAAAUCUGUGAUGCAGAAACACUAGUUGAAAAUAUACAGAAUUAAAUGUCACCACAAAAGCAGAUGUUAACAUAAGCCCAAAUAUGCUUUUUAGCCAAGAUGUGAAGGUUGAAAAAAAUAAUUCAGAGCAGAGGGAAGGAUGAUUUAAACCAAUAAAUAUAGCCCUAUUCCCCCUCUUUAUUUCUUUUCUGUCUUUAGCAAUCAGAAGAUGAAAUGUAAUUUUCCUUUUCAUUUUUAAGCCUUGAAACAUCCAGGCACCUCCUCAUUAUUUGUAUGUUUGCUGUGAUUUGUGAAUUUUGUAUAUAUUUACAUAGCUCUGUUUAUGCCAACAGCAUCAGCUUACCACUUGGAAAAUCUAUUGAAUGACUAUUUGGGCUGUGGGGAGGGUAAACUUUUAAAAAGUAAGAUCCAAGUAUUUCUUCAUCAAGCAGUUUUUAAAAGGAAAAUGAUAAUAAUCAGUAGGCUCCAUGGAAGCCUUUGCCUUCAUAGCUAUGUGCCAAAUACUUUUAUCUUGGGUGACAGUCAUGUCAGAGUGAAAGCUCUCAGGAAAAGUGUAACUAGUAGUUACAAAGUAAAUAAAGGAUUUCGUUUU
rnacentral:sRNA from 1 species